rnacentral:rRNA from 1 species
ACCCAUGCGCCACAAGUGGUAUCCACAUUUAUUGGGUCUAAAGCGUUCGUAGCCGGCCUGGUAAAUCUUGUGUGAAAUCGUUGGGCUUAACCCAACGUCGCGCACGAAAGACUGCCAGACUUGAGACCGGGAGGGGACAGAGGUAUUCCAGGGGGAGCGGUAAAAUGUUAUAAUCCCUGGAGGACCACCAGUGGCGAAGGCUUCUGUCCAGAACGGGUCUGACGGUGAGGAACGAAGGCUAGGGGAGCAAACCGGAUUAGAUACCCGAGUAGUCCUAGCUGUAAACGCUGUGUGCUGAGUGGUGCAAAUUCUCCGAGGAUUUGCAACGCUUAAGUGAAGAUGUUAAGCACACCACCUGGGAAGUAUAGUCGCAAGACCGAAACUUAAAGGAAUUGGCGGGGGCUCGCUACAAGGGGUGCGGCGUGCGGUUCAAUCUAAUUAUACGCAGAGAAUCUCACCAGGAGCGACGGCAGGAUGAAGGUCAGAUUAAAGGUUUUACCUGACAAGCCGAGAGGUGGUGCAUGGCCGUCGUCAGUUCGUGCCGUAAGGUGUUGCGUUAAGUCGUACAACGAACGAGACCCAUAUCUACAUUUGCCAGCAUGUUCUCCGGAAUGAAUGGGCACAAUGUAGGGACUGCCUUCGAAAGGAGGAGGAAGGUGUGGGCCACGAUAGGUCUGUAUGCCCCGAAUCUCCUGGGCUACACGCGCGCAACAAUGGUAGGGACAAUGGGAUGCAACUCCGAAAGGAGAAGCUAAGCCUCGAAACCCUAUCUUAGUCUAGAUUGUGGGCUGUAAUUCGCCCUCAUGACAAUGGAAUCCCUAGUAAUCGGGCUUCAACACGUCCCGGUGAACACGUCCCCGAGCCC